GGAGUCCCUCCCUCUAAAAGCACUCUGUGUGGGGAACAUGAGAGCCAGACCAAAGCUCAGAGGAACCAGCCUGGACCUCCACCCAGCUCUGUGUCCUCUAAGAGCAAACGGGUGAAGCAUUUCUUUCGUAAUUUAGGGCGAAAAAAGUCAUCUGAC